rnacentral:rRNA from 1 species
CGCUGGCGGCGUGCCUAACACAUGCAAGUCGAGCGGGCUGGUGGUGGGUGAAGAGUCUAUAUCAGUUUAGCGGCGGACGGGUGAGUAACCGUGGAUAACCUACCCGUGACGACCGGGAUAACCCUGGGAAACCGGGGCUAAUACCGGAUAUACUCCUGCUGGGGCAUCCUGGUGGGAGGAAAGGUGCUUGUCUGGUGCCGCUUACGGAUGGGUCCGCGUCCCAUUAGCUAGAUGGUGGGGUAACUGGCCUACCAUGGCUGCGAUGGGUAGCCGGCCUGAGAGGGUGACCGGCCACACUGGGACUGAGACACGGCCCAGACUCCUACGGGAGGCAGCAGUGGGGGAUCUUCCGCAAUGGGCGAAAGCCUGACGGAGCGACGCCGCGUGGGGGAGGAAGGCCUUCGGGUUGUAAACCCUGUUCUGGGGGAAGAAGGGAGUGACGGUACUCCAGGAGGAAGCCCCGGCUAACUACGUGCCAGCAGCCGCGGUAAGACGUAGGAUGGGCGAGCGUUGUCCGGAAUUACUGGGCGUAAAGGGCGCGUA